rnacentral:rRNA from 1 species
GAUGAACGCUGGCGGCGUGCCUAAUACAUGCAAGUCGAGCGAACAGACGAGGUGCUUGCUCCUCUGACGUUAGCGGCGGACGGGGGAGUAACACGUGGAUAACCUACCUAUAAGACUGGGAUAACUUCGAGAAACCGGAGCUAAUACCGGAUAACAUGUUGAACCGCAUGGUUCAACAGUGAAAGACGGUCUUGCUGCUACUUAUAGAUGGAUCCGCGCCGCAUUAGCUAGUUGGUAAGGUAACGGCUUACUACGGCAACGAUGCGUAGCCGACCUGAGAGGGUGAGCGGCCACACUGGAACUGAGACACGGUCCAGACUCCUACGGGAGGCAGCAGUAGGGAAUGUGCAGCAAGGGGCGAAAGCCUGAGGGAGCAGCGCCGCGUGAGUGAAGAAGGUGUUCGGAUCGUAGAACUCUGUUAUUAGGGAAGAACAAAUGUGUAAGUGACUAUGCACGUCGUGACGGUACCUAAUCAGAAAGCCACGGCUAACUACGUG